UACGUAGGGUGCGAGCGUUGUCCGGAAUUAUUGGGCGUAAAGAGCUUGUAGGCGGUCUGUCGCGUCUGCUGUGAAAAUCCGGGGCUCAACCCCGGACUUGCAGUGGGUACGGGCAGACUAGAGUGUGGUAGGGGAGACUGGAAUUCCUGGUGUAGCGGUGAAAUGCGCAGAUAUCAGGAGGAACACCAAUGGCGAAGGCAGCUCGCUGGAACGGUACUGACGCUGAGGCGCGAAAGCGUGGGGAGCGAACAGG
rnacentral:rRNA from 1 species